rnacentral:rRNA from 1 species
GACGAACGCUGGCGGCGUGCUUAACACAUGCAAGUCGAACGGAAAGGCCCUGCUUUUGUGGGGUGCUCGAGUGGCGAACGGGUGAGUAACACGUGGGUAACCUGCCCUUGACUUUGGGAUAACUCCAGGAAACUGGGGCUAAUACCGGAUAGGACCUCCUGUUGCAUGGUGGGGGUUGGAAAGUUUCGGCGGUUGGGGAUGGACUCGCGGCUUAUCAGCUUGUUGGUGGGGUAGUGGCUUACCAAGGCUUUGACGGGUAGCCGGCCUGAGAGGGUGACCGGCCACAUUGGGACUGAGAUACGGCCCAGACUCCUACGGGAGGCAGCAGUGGGGAAUAGUGCACAAUGGGCGGAAGCCUGAUGCAGCAACGCCGCGUGCGGGAUGACGGCCUGCGGGUUGUAAACCGCUUUCGCCUGUGACGAAGCGUGAGUGACGGUAAUGGGUAAAGAAGCACCGGCUAACUACGUG